AACAAAGAUGCAACAAAACAAGCCCUUAAGCAGAAUGGCACCAAAACCAUGGGAACAGUAACUAAUACUAAAAACACAGCAACUGGUCGGUGUAAAGUUGGGACUUCAGUGUCUCACCCAGGACAACAAAGUUGCAGUGAGCAAAUAGAACCC